rnacentral:rRNA from 1 species
GAUGAACGCUAGCUACAGGCUUAACACAUGCAAGUCGAGGGACUGGCGCACGGGUGAGUCACACGUAUCCAACCUUCACUUUACUUGGUGAUAGUCUUACGAAAGCAAGCCUAAUACCCGAUAUAUAGGCUGGGGGUGCGUUCCCUUAGGUUGUUGGUGAGGUAACGGCCCACCAAGCCUUCGAUGGCUAGGGGUUCUGAGAGGAAGGUCCCCCAGAUUGGAACGGAGACACGGUCCAAACUCCGACGGCAGGCAGCAGUGAGGAAUAGUAGUCAAUGGGCGUUAGCCUGAACCAGCCAAGUGGCGUAAAGGAGGAAGGCUUAUGGGUCGUAAACUUCUUUUAUAUAAGAAUAGGUAUUAUAUGAAUAAGGAUCGGCUAACUCCGGGCCAGCAGCCGCGGUAAUAC